rnacentral:rRNA from 1 species
CUCCUGGGAAGUCCUCGUGUUGCACCCCUCUCUUUUUCUUCGCGUUUUUUUCGUUGGGGUUGUCGUUUGCGGCGGUCCAGCACGCUCGCUCUGCAUGCACCCCUUUGAUCUUCGCUGGGCUUAUCGUGUACGUCGGUCCAGCACGCUCGCUUUGGAGGCUUAGCCCGCCCCAGGCCAAAAGCACGAGCCGCAGAUCUCGUUUUGGGUGCUAAAGCGUCGCGGGGACGUCGAAAUGCGCGGAAGCCCCUCGGGUUGCACCUCUCCGGCGUUAAGGUGCAUCGUUGCGUUCGGAUCCUUUUAUAAGAAUUAAACGCGCUUAUGCUGAUGGGUGCGAUCAUACCAACACUAAUGCACCGGA